CCAGGAAGAAAAGUUCUUGGAUGAAAGUUAAAGAAAGUUGUCUGCUUUCCCUAUAGUAGCAAAGGAUGCUAAAAAAACAAUGGCCUUUUCUCUAGUCUGUAUACUACAGUUAAUGAUUGAUUACUCAGUUAUCGACAGUGAUGGUGGAGUUACUUUGAAAAAGUAACUUUAAUCAGAUUACUGAUUACUCCUUGAAAAAGUAACUUAGUUAGAUUACUGAUUACUUGAAAUGGAAAGUAACGAAGUUACAUUAAAAGUAACUUUUUCAGUUGCUUUUAGCAGCUGCUAACAACAACGCUGUGCCGCCUGUGAAAAUAACAUUGAGCUUUGCCAAUACUUAAUUGCCAGUUAUUUUAUAAUUGCUGGGUUCUGCAGGGGAGUGGUUUCUCUACAUUUACAGGGUGGCAGGCUGACGGGAUCCAGCUGGUGCUCAUCAAGACCAAUCAGCGAAGGCCUUAAAUAGGAGCGGCUUCCCUGAGGCAGACGCCAGAUGAUUUGCUUCAAUAGUGGUACACUCUGGCUCUCUGUGCUGCUGUUACUGUGUUUAAACUUGUUCUGAUUCCUCUCUCAUCUAUUCCCUCCUCAGAGAACCAGCUCUGAUCACCCCCUGGUGCUCAGACUAUCUUAUUACCCGAUCCUCGCUGCUCCGCUAAACCUAGCUCCUGGAUACCUCCACGACCACCAGCCUGUCCACCCUCAGUCUCAUGCUGGAACUCCUCCACCUGGAAAUCCCACACUCCACCGACUGCUGGAAAACCCAUGUACCCACCUCUGCUCAUCCUAACCCUCAGACAUUCCUCCUCUGGCCCGGUUCCUCCCUGCUGCUGCAGAUCAACGCCUCUCUAUUCUCUCCCCAUUUGCACUCAUUAUUCAAUAAAUCUGUUAAACUGCG